rnacentral:rRNA from 1 species
UACGAAGGGGGCUAGCGUUGUUCGGAAUCACUGGGCGUAAAGCGCACGUAGGCGGAUCUUUAAGUCAGAGGUGAAAUCCCAAGGCUCAACCUUGGAACUACCUUUGAUACUGGGGAUCUUGAGUCCGGGAGAGGUGAGUGGAACUGCGAGUGUAGAGGUGAAAUUCGUAGAUAUUCGCAAGAACACCAGUGGCGAAGGCGGCUCACUGGCCCGGUACUGACGCUGAGGUGCGAAAGCGUGGGGAGCAAACAGG